rnacentral:rRNA from 1 species
UAAGGGCUCGCAGGCGGUUUCUUAAGUCUGAUGUGAAAGCCCCCGGCUCAACCGGGGAGGGUCAUUGGAAACUGGGGAACUUGAGUGCAGAAGAGGAGAGUGGAAUUCCACGUGUAGCGGUGAAAUGCGUAGAGAUGUGGAGGAACACCAGUGGCGAAGGCGACUCUCUGGUCUGUAACUGACGCUGAGGAGCGAAAGCGUGGGGAGCGAACAGGAUUAGAUACCCUGGUAGUCCACGCCGUAAACGAUGAGUGCUAAGUGUUAGGGGGUUUCCGCCCCUUAGUGCUGCAGCUAACGCAUUAAGCACUCCGCCUGGGGAGUACGGUCGCAAGACUGAAACUCAAAGGAAUUGACGGGGGCCCGCACAAGCGGUGGAGCAUGUGGUUUAAUUCGAAGCAACGCGAAGAACCUUACCAGGUCUUGACAUCCUCUGACAAUCCUAGAGAUAGGACGUCCCCUUCGGGGGCAGAGUGACAGGUGGUGCAUGGUUGUCGUCAGCUCGUGUCGUGAGAUGUUGGGUUAAGUCCCGCAACGAGCGCAACCCUUGAUCUUAGUUGCCAGCAUUCAGUUGGGCACUCUAAGGUGACUGCCGGUGACAAACCGGAGGAAGGUGGGGAUGACGUCAAAUCAUCAUGCCCCUUAUGACCUGGGCUACACACGUGCUACAAUGGACAGAACAAAGGGCAGCGAAACCGCGAGGUUAAGCCAAUCCCACAAAUCUGUUCUCAGUUCGGAUCGCAGUCUGCAACUCGACUGCGUGAAGCUGGAAUCGCUAGUAAUCGCGGAUCACAUUGCCGCGGGGGGAAUAACGUUUCCCGGGGCCUUGUACACACCCGCCCGUCACACCACGAAGAGUUUGUAACACCCGAAGUCCGGUGAGGUAACCUUUUUAGGAGCCAGCCGCCGAAGGUGGGACAGAUGAUUGGGGUGAUCAGA